UCAUAACUGAUGUUCCUCUAGAAGGAUCCAAUAAUUGGGUAAUUACUACUACAGAAAUUCAGGACCUGAUACAGAAGGCAUAGUAUUUGCUGCAGAGACUUCUAAAAUUCUACUGCUACGCACAGCCAAGAUGACAGCUCAGAUUCCCCAUCAGUUGCUCUUCUCCAAAGAGACACUGUUUUAAGCAUUUCUCCAUUUUCGAAUCCACUCAACAACCAAAUGAGACACCAAUUUGGAUGUCCAACAAUUCAAGUCAAUUCUGACACUGCCUGAAAUUGCAUCACAUUCCA